rnacentral:rRNA from 1 species
AGAGUUUGAUCCUGGCUCAGCAUUGAACGUUGGCGGCAGGUUUCAUACAUGCAAGUCGAACGGGGUUGACUCCUUCGGAAGUGCCAACCCAGUGGCGGACGGGUGAGUAACGCGUAGGAAUCUACCUAGUAGGUGGGGAAUAACGCCAGGAGACUGGCGCUAAUACCGCAUACGACCUAGGGGUGAAAGCGGGGGAUCUUUUGACCUCGCGCUAUUAGAGGAGCCUGCGUUGGAUUAGCUUGUUGGUGAGGUAAUGGCUCACCAAGGCGACGAUCCAUAGCUGGUCUGAGAGGACGAUCAGCCACACUGGAACUGAAACACGGUCCAGACUUCUAAGGNANGCAGCAGUAGAGAAUAUUGCCCAAUGGGGGAAACCCNAGAUGCAGGCAUGCCGCGUGUGUGAA